UGAUAAUAUCAAGGACGCAAACUUAUGUUGUCAAGGAUUUUGUAGUUUCACUUUCAUUUUUAUAUUAUCCAUUAUUAUCUGUACAAAGUAACUUUUGUGAGGCGCGUUGACUUCCUUCACAUUCUUUAUUACAGUAAAUCUAAAUUACAAUGGGCUUGAGGAUAUACAUAUGGGCAGAGGGAGGAGGAAAUGUAGGUCAUGGAUCGAUGACCCUAGGCAAUGGAACCCAUAUCAGCUGGUGGCCCAAGGAAGACAAAGCGAAAUCUGCCAACCAAAGAUGGAAAUCAGUGGAAGCAGAACCAGCAACUUCGUAUGAACAAGAUGUUGAAUGGGAAGGAAAACCAGCUGAUUUUAUAUACGAAAUUCCUUCCGGAAAACUUGACGAGGCAGCUAUUAAAACAUGGUGGAAUGAGUUCAAAACAACCAACAAGUAUCACAUCGUUUUUAAGAAUUGCUGCAGUGCCGUCUACAACGCUUUGAAGAUAGGUGGAGCUGAAAAGAAAGUGCCAUUUCCAGGGUCUCUUAUUUCAACACCAGCAAACUUAAAACAAUAUGCUGAGAAACUACAGAAAGCUACAAGAUAACAAACUUUAAAAUCAAAGGACAAUAAGUCAGCAUAUGGAAUUAUACAUAAGAUUAUAAUAGUGUUUCUUGUUAUCUACUGAAUACUUACAUAUUAUUUCUUCAUAUUGUAAAAAAAACAUGACUGAAUGGUUUGUCACCAGUU